AGUGAACGCUGGCGGUAGGCCUAACACAUGCAAGUCGAACGGCAGCACAGUAAGAGCUUGCUCUUACGGGUGGCGAGUGGCGGACGGGUGAGGAAUACAUCGGAAUCUACUUUUUCGUGGGGGAUAACGUAGGGAAACUUACGCUAAUACCGCAUACGACCUACGGGUGAAAGCAGGGGAUCUUCGGACCUUGCGCGAUUGAAUGAGCCGAUGUCGGAUUAGCUAGUUGGCGGGGUAAAGGCCCACCAAGGCGACGAUCCGUAGCUGGUCUGAGAGGAUGAUCAGCCACACUGGAACUGAGACACGGUCCAGACUCCUACGGGAGGCAGCAGUGGGGAAUAUUGGACAAUGGGCGCAAGCCUGAUCCAGCCAUACCGCGAGGGUGAAGAAGGCCUUCGGGUUGUAAAGCCCUUUUGUUGGGAAAGAAAAGCAGCAGGUUAACACCCCGCUGUUCUGACGGUACCCAAAGAAUAAGCACCGGCUAACUUCGUG
rnacentral:rRNA from 1 species